AAGAAGGAGGACUCUAACUUCCACUUCUCGGAGAAAAAGCAAUUAUAUAUAUCCCCACCUCUGGCUUGACACCAAGUCUCCCAACCACAACACGACACGGUUACAGUACACAUACUUUACAUAUAUUCAGCACAAACUGACACUCGCACAAAACACAGAAUGGGGAGAGGAAGAGUGGAGCUGAAGAGGAUAGAGAACAAGAUCA
rnacentral:misc_RNA from 1 species